AUGCUCUUAGUGGAUAGGGAUAAAUUGAUUUCCAUUUGAAUUUAAAAUUUGAUUUGAAUUCAAAUGUGCAAUUACUCAUCUUUAUCCUCUCACGUGGAUAAGAUGUUUGACGUUGUUUUAAAAGGCGGAAAAGAGUGGGGUGUGUGCAAAAAAAUUUUUGAAGAGAAAUCUAGGCAUGAGGAAUCCUUGUGUGCAAGGUGAAGGUCUAUAUCCUUCCAAAAGAAAAAGAAAGAAAAGAAAGAAAAAGUGUGUGCAGGGUUUCAGUGAGUUC
rnacentral:lncRNA from 1 species